ACAAUGUAGCUACCCUGAGAGGUCACUCUCCCCAGGCUCUGUCCAAGUGGUGUAUAGGAACAUAAGGCUUUGCCUGCGAAGUGCAGUCCCUUUCCAUAACACUGGAGAAGAAUCUGGGUCAUGAGUCUGUACCUGCAUGUCCCUACGACUUCUCAGAGUCCUGUAGAUAAACCAUGUAGGAAACAACA
rnacentral:snoRNA from 1 species